rnacentral:rRNA from 1 species
UGGGGAAUUGUUCGCAAUGGGCGCAACCCUGAUCCAGCCAUGCCGCGUGUGUGAAGAAGGCCUUCGGGUUGUAAAGCACUUUCGGACGGUACGAAAUCGCGCGAUGUAAUAAGUCGCGUGGAUGACGGUACCGUAAGAAGAAGCACCGGCUAACUACGUGCCAGCAGCCGAGGUAAUACGUAGGGUGCGAGCGUUAAUCGGAAUUACUGGGCGUAAAGUGUGCGCAGGCGGCCAUGCAAGUCGAGUGUGAAAGCCCCGGGCUUAACUUGGGAAUUGCGCUCGAAACUACGUGGCUGGAGUGUGGCAGAGGAAGGUGGAAUUCCACGUGUAGCGGUGAAAUGCGUAGAGAUGUGGAGGAACACCAAUGGCGAAGGCAGCCUUCUGGGCCAACACUGACGCUCAUGCACGAAAGCGUGGGGAGCAAA